GAUGAACGCUAGCUACAGGCUUAACACAUGCAAGUCGAGGGGCAGCAUGAUCGAAGCUUGCUUUGAUUGAUGGCGACCGGCGCACGGGUGAGUAACGCGUAUCCAACCUUCCCUAUAGUAGAGGAUAGCCCGGCGAAAGUCGGGAUUAAUACUCUAUGUUUUCCAGAGAGGACAUCUGACCUGGACGAAAGAUUCAUCGCUAUGGGAUGGGGAUGCGUCUGAUUAGGUUGCAGGCGGGGUAACGGCCCACCUGGCCGACGAUCAGUAGGGGUUCUGAGAGGAAGGUCCCCCACAUUGGAACUGAGACACGGUCCAAACUCC
rnacentral:rRNA from 1 species